AUGUCAGGCUUGGACAAUCCCCGGGUUCCCACAGGUGCAGAAACACCUCAGAAGGAUUUGGGGUCAGGCCACACACACCAACACAGCCAGUGGUGUUUCACCAAGGGUUCCUUUAAUAAAUCCAGUUAUUUCUUCCUUUUGAACCCAUUUUGUUUUUCUGCUCUUGCACUGGAGACCCAGGGCAGCCCCUCCCUGGCACCACGGGCUGCUCUCCACGGCCGCCCCACCAAACCUUUGCCUUUUUCUCUGUGCUCAGGUGAAUCCUGCAGGCUCCUCACACCGGUGUCCCUUGGUGGAAGGGCAGCAGGGGGUUCCUGGCAGUCUCUCUGUUUGCUUCUGCACCUUCUGUCUGCAGCCACUCCAUCUUCUGCCGGUGCUGNGAGGAGAAGGAAGCAGAGAAGGAAGGAGAGGGGAGGAAGAGGAGAGGAAGCAAAGGUGAGGAAGAAGAGGAGAGAGAAGCAGAGAGGGAAACAGAGGGAAGCAGAGGAGAAGAAGAAGAGAGGAAGGAGAAGAAUUAAAGGAGGGGAAGAAGAGGAGAGGAAGAAGAGGAGAAGGGUGCAGAGAAGGGAAGAGAGGAAGAGGAAGCAGAGGAGAGGAAGCAGAGAUGAAGUAAAGGGAAGGAAGAAGAGGAGAGGAAGGAGAGGAAGAAGAGAAGAAGGACAGGAGAGGAAGCAGAGAGGGAAGCAGAGGAGAAGAGGAGAAGAGGAGGAAGGAGAAGGAAGCAGAGGAGAGGAAGGAGAGGAAUUAAAGGAGAGGAAGAAGAGGAGAGGAAGAAGAGAGAAAGAAGAGGAGAUGAAGUAAAGGAGAGGAAGAAGAGGAGAGGGCAGAGGAGAGGAAGGAGAGGAGAUGAAGUAAAAGAGGAAGAAGAGGAAAGGGAAGGAGAGGAGAUGAAGUAAAGGAGAGGAAGAAGAGGAAAGGGAAGGAGAGGAGAUGAAGUAAAGGAGAGGAAGAAGAGGAAAGGGAAGGAGAGGAGAUGAAGUAAAGGAGAGGAAGCAGAGGAGAGGAAGAGUAGGAGAGGAAGGAGAGGAAGGAGAGGAGAUGAAGUAAAAGGAGAGGAAGAAGAGGAAAGGGAAGCAGAGGAGAGGAAGAGGAGGAGAGGAAGAAGUGAGGAAGAAGAGGAGAGGAGGAGGAGCAGAGGGCAGAUGUGGCAGCGCCAGCAGGAGCUGCCCGCCCCGGCUGGGCUGCGGGCCCUGCUGUGUGUCCGUGUGUCCUGAGCUCUGUCUGUGUGUCCCUCCGUGCCCUGCAUGGCCCUGUCCCCGCUGUGGCUCCCCCAUUCCUGUUCCCGGGGGCUCCCAGCCCCUCCUGCUCUCCCUGGGAGGAUUUCCCCUCCUGGAGCAGCAGCACCGAGCCUGCAGUGCUGCCUGCCCCCAUCUCCAUCCUUAUUUUCCCUUUUUUCCUUUUUCCUGCAUGCACCAGGCAGGGAGAGGCACAGCCCAGACUGCACCACAGACCCAGCUCUGCUCUGGCUCCAUCACAGAACCAUCCCUACUGUGGUUGAAAAGCAAUAAUGGCCAAUUUUUAUUUUUAUUUUUAUUGAAAUACAACUUGCACAGGCAGAUUUCAGCCAGGGCUGUGCUGGAGGAGCAGCUGAAGGUGCAGAGAGCUUGGGCUGGGGGAGGCAAUAGAAAAAAAGCACACUGUGAUUUAUUUUGGGUCAACAAGUGAGUGUAUUUCAGCCAUUCCUUCCCUUCCAAGAUGUUUGUACCAUAGAGAACCAGUUCAGCUCCUGGAACCAAACCCAUCCUUUGCUGUUUGUCAGUAAAAUAGUUUUUUGCAUGUUUUGCAUCUGAGUGGUUUUUAU
ensembl:lncRNA